GAUGCGGUUAAUAACCGCGUCGAUUGACGUUACCCGCAGAAGAAGCACCGGCUAACUCCGUGCCAGCAGCCGCGGUAAUACGGAGGGUGCAAGCGUUAAUCGGAAUUACUGGGCGUAAAGCGCACGCAGGCGGUCUGUUAAGUCAGAUGUGAAAUCCCCGGGCUUAACCUGGGAACUGCAUUUGAAACUGGCAGGCUUGAGUCUUGUAGAGGGGGGUAGAAUUCCAGGUGUAGCGGUGA
rnacentral:rRNA from 1 species